CUUUUCAGCGGUAACGCCAUCGAACACAAACACCCGGCCUCGGAACGAGAGAGCAACCUGGUCAUUACCGUCGGCGGCGCAUGGAACAGCCACGUUGGAGCCUUCACCGCCACCGCCAUAUAUUCCGUCGGCUGGAUUGGAGACUUCGAAGGUGGCCAAGCCGCCUACACCGCCGUCUUCAAGAGACUGAACAUCGUAAUCAGUGUCCAAGUUCUCGACCAAUCCGUCAUCUCCGGCGGCGGCUGGGCUCUGUAUCGACGGGUUUAAUGACUGAUUUUGAGCGGACAUUGCUGGCUUCAAGAUUGAAAGAGUACCAAUGGCGCUUGAGAGAAAGUCGCUCGGAGCAUGUUAAACGCAUGGGUUCAGUGACU
rnacentral:lncRNA from 1 species